UACGUAGGGUCCGAGCGUUGUCCGGAAUUAUUGGGCGUAAAGGGCUCGUAGGCGGUCUGUCGCGUCGGGAGUGAAAACUUACAGCUUAACUGUGAGCGUGCUUCCGAUACGGGCAGACUUGAGGUAUUCAGGGGAGAACGGAAGUUCCUGGUGUAGCGGUGAAAUGCGCAGAGUAUCAGGAGGAACACCGGUGGCGAAGGCGGUUCUCUGGGAAUAUCCUGACGCUGAGGAGCGAAAGUGUGGGAGCGAACAGG
rnacentral:rRNA from 1 species